rnacentral:rRNA from 1 species
GAUGAACGCUGGCGGCGUGCUUAACACAUGCAAGUCGAACGGGCUCUUCGGAGCUAGUGGCGGACGGGUGAGUAACGCGUGAGAAUCUGCCUACAGGACGGGGACAACAGUUGGAAACGGCUGCUAAUACCCGAUGUGCCGAGAGGUGAAACAUUUAUGGCCUGUAGAUGAGCUCGCGUCUGAUUAGCUAGUUGGUGGGGUAAGGGCCUACCAAGGCGACGAUCAGUAGCUGGUCUGAGAGGAUGAUCAGCCACACUGGGACUGAGACACGGCCCAGACUCCUACGGGAGGCAGCAGUGGGGAAUUUUCCGCAAUGGGCGCAAGCCUGACGGAGCAACGCCGCGUGGGGGAGGAAGGUUUUUGGACUGUAAACCCCUUUUCUCAGGGAAGAAGAAAGUGACGGUACCUGAGGAAUAAGCCUCGGCUAAUUCCGUGCCAGCAGCCGCGGUAAUACGGGAGAGGCAAGCGUUAUCCGGAAUUAUUGGGCGUAAAGCGUCCGCAGGCGGUUAAUCAAGUCUGUUGUCAAAGCGUGGGGCUCAACCUCAUAAAGGCAAUGGAAACUGAUUGACUAGAGUAUGGUAGGGGUAGCGGGAAUUCCAGGUGUAGCGGUGAAAUGCGUAGAUAUCUGGAAGAACACCAGCGGCGAAAGCGCGCUACUGGGCCAUAACUGACGCUCAUGGACGAAAGCUAGGGGAGCGAAAGGGAUUAGAUACCCCUGUAGUCCUAGCCGUAAACGAUGAACACUAGGUGUUGCGUGAAUCGACCCGCGCAGUGCCGUAGCCAACGCGUUAAGUGUUCCGCCUGGGGAGUACGCACGCAAGUGUGAAACUCAAAGGAAUUGACGGGGGCCCGCACAAGCGGUGGAGUAUGUGGUUUAAUUCGAUGCAACGCGAAGAACCUUACCAGGGUUUGACAUCCCCCGAAUCUCUUGGAAACGAGAGAGUGCCUUCGGGAGCGGGGAGACAGGUGGUGCAUGGCUGUCGUCAGCUCGUGUCGUGAGAUGUUGGGUUAAGUCCCGCAACGAGCGCAACCCACGUUUUUAGUUGCCAUCAUUCAGUUGGGCACUCUAGAGAAACUGCCGGUGACAAACCGGAGGAAGGUGUGGACGACGUCAAGUCAUCAUGCCCCUUACAUCCUGGGCUACACACGUACUACAAUGCUCCGGACAGCGAGACGCGAAGCCGCGAGGUGAAGCAAAUCUCCCAAACCGGGGCUCAGUUCAGAUUGCAGGCUGCAACUCGCCUGCAUGAAGGCGGAAUCGCUAGUAAUCGCAGGUCAGCAUACUGCGGUGAAUACGUUCCCGGGCCUUGUACACACCGCCCGUCACACCAUGGAAGUUGGCCAUGCCCGAAGUCGUUACCCUAACCGUUCGCGGAGGGGGGCGCCGAAGGUAGGGCUGAUGACUGGGGUGAA